rnacentral:rRNA from 1 species
AGAACGAACGCUGGCGGCAUGCCUAACACAUGCAAGUCGAACGAUCUCUUCGGAGAUAGUGGCGCACGGGUGCGUAACGCGUGGGAAUCUGCCCUUGGGUUCCGGAAUAACAGUUGGAAACGACUGCUAAUACCGGAUGAUGACGUUAAGUCCAAAGAUUUAUCGCCCAGGGAUGAGCCCGCGUAGGGUUAGCUAGUUGGUGAGGUAAAGGCUCACCAAGGCGACGAUCCUUAGCUGGUCUGAGAGGAUGGAU